rnacentral:rRNA from 1 species
AUUGAACGCUGGCGGCAUGCUUUACACAUGCAAGUCGAACGGCAGCGCGGGCUUCGGCCUGGCGGCGAGUGGCGAACGGGUGAGUAAUGCAUCGGAACGUGCCCAGUAGUGGGGGAUAGCCCGGCGAAAGCCGGAUUAAUACCGCAUACGACCUGAGGGUGUAAGCGGGGGACCGAAAGGCCUCGCGCUAUUGGAGCGGCCGAUGUCGGAUUAGCUAGUUGGUGGGGUAAAGGCUUACCAAGGCGACGAUCCGUAGCUGGUCUGAGAGGACGACCAGCCACACUGGGACUGAGACACGGCCCAGACUCCUACGGGAGGCAGCAGUGGGGAAUUUUGGACAAUGGGGGCAACCCUGAUCCAGCCAUGCCGCGUGCGGGAAGAAGGCCUUCGGGUUGUAAACCGCUUUUGUUCGGGAAGAAAUCCUCUGGGCUAAUACCCCGGGGGGAUGACGGUACCGUAAGAAUAAGCACCGGCUAACUACGUG